rnacentral:rRNA from 1 species
AGAUCCUGGCUCAGAACGAACGCUGGCGGCAGGCCUAACACAUGCAAGUCGAACGCCCCGCAAGGGGAGUGGCAGACGGGUGAGUAACACGUGGGAACGUGCCCUUCGGUUCGGGAUAACUCAGGGAAACUUGGGCUAAUACCGGAUACGUGCGAGAGCAGAAAGAUUUAUCGCCGAAGGAUCGGCCCGCGUCCGAUUAGCUAGUUGGUGAGGUAAUGGCUCACCAAGGCGACGAUCGGUAGCUGGUCUGAGAGGAUGAUCAGCCACACUGGGACUGAGACACGGCCCAGACUCCUACGGGAGGCAGCAGUGGGGAAUAUUGGACAAUGGGCGCAAGCCUGAUCCAGCCAUGCCGCGUGAGUGAUGAAGGCCCUAGGGUUGUAAAGAUCUUUCGCCAGGGACGAUAAUACGGUACCGAUAAGAAGCCCCCGGCUAAUUUAAGU